GCCAGGGUGGCUCAGUGGGUUGAGUGUCUGACUUUGGCCCAAGUCAUGAUCUCACUUCUCGUGGGUUCAAACCCCACAUCAGGCU
rnacentral:tRNA from 1 species